CUCCUACGGGAGGCAGCAGUGGGGAAUAUUGCACAAUGGGGGAAACCCUGAUGCAGCGACGCCGCGUGGAGGAAGAAGGUCUUCGGAUUGUAAACUCCUGUUGUUGAGGAAGAUAAUGACGGUACUCAACAAGGAAGUGACGGCUAACUACGUGCCAGCAGCCGCGGUAAAACGUAGGUCACAAGCGUUGUCCGGAAUUACUGGGUGUAAAGGGAGCGCAGGCGGGAGAACAAGUUGGAAGUGAAAUCCAUGGGCUCAACCCAUGAACUGCUUUCAAAACUGUUUUUCUUGAGUAGUGCAGAGGUAGGCGGAAUUCCCGGUGUAGCGGUGGAAUGCGUAGAUAUCGGGAGGAACACCAGUGGCGAAGGCGGCCUACUGGGCACCAACUGACGCUGAGGCUCGAAAGUGUGGGUAGCAAACAGGAUUAGAUACCCUGGUAGUCCACACCGUAAACGAUGAUUACUAGGUGUUGGAGGAUUGACCCCUUCAGUGCCGCAGUUAACACAAUAAGUAAUCCACCUGGGGAGUACGACCGCAAGGUUGAAACUCAAAGGAAUUGACGGGGGCCCGCACAAGCAGUGGAGUAUGUGGUUUAAUUCGACGCAACGCGAAGAACCUUACCAAGUCUUGACAUCCCUUGACGAUGCUGGAAACAGCAUUUCUCUUCGGAGCAAGGAGACAGGUGGUGCAUGGUUGUCGUCAGCUCGUGUCGUGAGAUGUUGGGUUAAGUCCCGCAACGAGCGCAACCCUUAUGGUCAGUUACUACGCAAGAGGACUCUGGCCAGACUGCCGUUGACAAAACGGAGGAAGGUGGGGAUGACGUCAAAUCAUCAUGCCCUUUAUGACUUGGGCUACACACGUACUACAAUGGCGUUAAACAAAGAGAAGCAAGACCGCGAGGUGGAGCAAAACUCAGAAACAACGUCCCAGUUCGGACUGCAGGCUGCAACUCGCCUGCACGAAGUCGGAAUUGCUAGUAAUCGUGGAUCAGCAUGCCACGGUGAAUACGUUCCCGGGCCUUGUACACACCGC
rnacentral:rRNA from 1 species